rnacentral:rRNA from 1 species
UCNACGAGAAACGGCGACUUCGGUUGCUGAGUAGAGUGGCGAACGGGUGAGUAACGCGUGGGAAUCUGCCCUUUGGUGGGGGAUAACCCGGGGAAACCUGGGCUAAUACCGCAUAAGCCUUAAGAGGGAAAGCCUUCGGGUGCCGAAGGUAGGGGCCCGCGUCCGAUUAGUUAGUUGGUGAGGUAAGAGCUCACCAAGGCGACGAUCGGUAGCCGGUCUGAGAGGACGGACGGCCACACUGGGACUGAGACACGGCCCAGACUCAUACGGGAGGCUGCAGUGGGGAAUUUUGCUGCA